rnacentral:rRNA from 1 species
GACGAACCGUGCGAACGUUAUUCGGAUUCACUGGGCUUAAAGGGUGCGUAGGCGGGUCUUUAAGUCAGGGGUGAAAUCCUGGAGCUCAACUCCAGAACUGCCUUUGAUACUGAGGAUCUUGAGUACGGGAGAGGUGAGUGGAACUGCGAGUGUAGAGGUGAAAUUCGUAGAUAUUCGCAAGAACACCAGUGGCGAAGGCGGCUCACUGGCCCGUUACUGACGCUGAGGCACGAAAGCGUGGGGAGCAAACAGG